CGACCGGAUGCGGAUCUCGAAAGCCUGUCCCAGUUCGGACUGGAGUCUGCAACCCGACUCCACGAAGUUGGAUUCGCUAGUAAUCGCGCAUCAGCCAUGGCGCGGUGAAUACGUUCCCGGGCCUUGUACACACCGCCCGUCAAGCCAUGGGAGCCGGGGGCGCCUGAAGUCCGGGACCGCGAGGACCGGCCUAGGGCGAAACUGGUAACUGGGGCUAAGUCGUAACAAGGUAAC
rnacentral:rRNA from 1 species